AACGAACGCUGGCGGCAUGCCUAACACAUGCAAGUCGAACGAGACCUUCGGGUCUAGUGGCGCACGGGUGCGUAACGCGUGGGAACCUGCCCUUAGGUUCGGAAUAACUCCCCGAAAGGGGUGCUAAUACCGGAUAAUGUCUUCGGACCAAAGAUUUAUCGCCUUUGGAUGGGCCCGCGUUGGAUUAGCUAGUUGGUAGGGUAAAAGCCUACCAAGGCGACGAUCCAUAGCUGGUCUGAGAGGAUGAUCAGCCACACUGGGACUGGGACACGGCCCAGACUCCUACGGGAGGCAGCAGUGGGGAAUAUUGGACAAUGGGCGAAAGCCUGAUCCAGCAAUGCCGCGUGAGUGAUGAAGGCCUUAGGGUUGUAAAGCUCUUUUACCCGGGAUGAUAAUGACAGUACCGGGAGAAUAAGCUCCGGCUAACUCCG
rnacentral:rRNA from 1 species